AAUUAUUUCUUUUUCCCUGUUGCCCUUUCUAGGUUCCCUGCUAUUCUUAUGGUCAAAAGUUGUCCAAACUGGCCAUCUUGAGAAUAGCCUGUAACUAUAUCCUUUCCCUGGCCAGACUAGCAGACCUGGAUUACAGCGCUGACCACAGUAACAUGAGCUUCUCUGAAUGCGUGGAGCAGUGCACUAGGACCUUACAAGCAGAAGGAAGAUCUAAAAAAAGGAAGGAGUAACAACCAGCAAGGGAGGAUUCACAAGAGCUUCCAGCCAGAGCUACGUCUGGUCUUGGCAAAGGUUGCACGAUCCAGAUGAAGACUGAAAGCAGCUUUUUUGCAGAAACCCCUAUUGGAGAUGACGAUUGGCCAAGGAACUUUCUUAAUCUCUGGAACAGAAAGGAAAAAAGGAAAAGGAAAGGAAAAACAAAAGGACAGGGAUGCUUCUUAUUGUUGUUAAGCCAGCCACCUUUUCGUACGUGCAAUUUAUUUAGCACUUUUCCCUUUGCUUAACUGGGAAAUGUUACCCUCUCAGCUCAUGUGUACAGUAAUUUUUUGUUGUUGUUGUUGUUGCUGUUGUGCCAAAGAUUUGAUGGAGCUUCUACACUGUGUCUUAUUGUUGCCUUAAUGUUAAACCUUUGAGCCAAAGAAAAGUCAGAGGAGCCAUUCAGAUCGUGGCAAGCAGGCCAGCCAGCUGUGGGUGACAAAGCCCAAUUUCUGUACCCUUCUGCGAGUUACCUCUUAUUUCUGCAGCCUGCACUUCCCUGGAGCUAGCAUUUGGUGUGGGCAAGAGCUGGGACAACACAAAACCAUUCUGUGGUGUUCAGGUUUGCUUCUUCCUUUGAGCUACUCUGUAGUUCUGCCUUUUGGGCAAUUUCCUGAUGUUCCUGCCUGUGCAACACAUCCACAGGGUGAAAGUACUGACACGAAGUGAGAGCUGAAACAGGAGCUAUGAAUUUAUUUUUUUUUAAUAAAGAAAUAAAAUUAAACAAGCAAAAGCAAAGUGCCAUGUAAAGCAAAGAGAGAGAGAAAAAAAAAAUAGAAAUCAUAAGAAAGUUCAGCCAGGCAGAAAGAAGUGCAGCAAAAUGAUUCAGCCGGUGUUUCAGGUUUGUGAAGUCGUUUUUUCCAUGGGGUUUUUCAAGUGGUCAGAAACCCGUGUAAUGCAAAAGCAUUUGAAUCCUGUACUGUACCUUUCACUUCAAAUUGAAGUAAAAAAAAGAGAGAAGAGAUGGAGAAACAUUUGCUUGGAGUAAGCAGACUUUAUAGGUAAUGCAGUUCGUAUGCAGGACAUCUGCUAAUGAUGGAGGGACGGAGCUCUGUGUUCAAGUAAAAAAUAUGAGUUUCCAAACCAAGAAGAUUAACAUGUUUUGUUAAUCUCAGGGGGAAAUACUGUUAUUUGUGAGGCCAGAUUCGCAUCCUGGCCCUCAGUGUGAAUCAGGUUCCCUCCCCUGUGUCUGACUUACUCCAGUGGGGUCUGGCCCAGCCCCGCCAGGCACUGGGGCAGGCAGGAGGCACUGGGCAAGGGAGGGAACAGUCUCUGUUUUACUGACGUGAACAUGCAAAACUGGAGCUCCUCAGUGCCUGCCUGCUCCUUCCCCAAGCUGAGCAAUGGGCUGGUGAGCCCCGAGCUGGGGAGCUGCUGUGCCAAACCUGUCUGGGGUGCCAGGCUGCUCAGUGCCAGCUCCCCUGGCUCCCAGCGAGCUCGAGAUGUCCUCUGCCACAUUUCUGGGGCACGUGGGACAGCUGUGUCCAAACCCCCUCCCAGGAGCUCAUUAUAUGGCUCCCCCUCCACUCUCACCGCUGGUCAUUAUUAGCAGCCCAAUAAAAUACAUUUUUAGAUUGUCA